rnacentral:rRNA from 1 species
AUUCCAGCUCCAAUAGCGUAUAUUAAAGUUGUUGCAGUUAGAACGCUCGUAGUCGGAUUUCGGGGCGUUCCGACCGGUCUGCCGAUGGGUACGCACUGGUCGGCGCGUCCUUCCUUCCGGAGACCGUGCCUACUCUUAACUGAGCGGGGGCGGGAGACGGAUCGUUUACUUUGAAAAAAUCAGAGUGUUUCAAGCAGGCAGCUCGCUCUUGCAUGGAUUAGCAUGGGAUAAUGAAAUAGGACUUUGGUGCUAUUUUGUUGGUUUCGAACACCGAAGUAAUGAUUAACAGGGACAGUCAGGGGCACUCGUAUUCCGCCGAGAGAGGUGAAAUUCUCAGACCAGCGGAAGACGAACCACUGCGAAAGCAUUUGCCAGGGAUGUUUUCAUUA